GCUUUUCGAAACAGAGGACGCAUUAUCUUUGAUGACAAAAUUCUGUGCAUUCCUUUGGUUUUGUUGGUGAUGAUCCAAGAAGAAUUGUAUUUCAUGAAACGAAAAAGCAUAAGUGUUUACGAACACAUAGAAGAAUUACUUCGGAUUCGCUGAAGGAGGGGGCGAUAACGAGCAUUUCAGUGGAAGAGUGGAAGACAUUCUAAUAACUCAUUAUCGACAAAAUCACGCAAUGAAAACGAUUCUGAAGUUCUUCUUGCUUGCUUUUCUACUCUUGGUCAGUGGUUUUGAAGGCGGGGACGGUUUCAAACGGAUUUUACGAAGAAGAAAAAUACGCCGUCCGAAGCCAGCGCCAUUAAUGGAACGCAAAUUGGGUUUUCGUUUCACACAACGAUAAGAUACUACCAGGCACGGCUUUAAAACGAGGACAGACACGAAGAAAGAACCAAUGGAAUCUUGAAGAAAUAAGAAUGAUCUCCUAAACAUGAACACCUAUAGUUAUAUAUUUAACUAAUUAACAUAAAUUUUAAGACGUAUACCGUAGAAAUUAGUAUAGAGUAUUGUGGCUGUCAUGACGAAAAGUGACGCAAUAAUGUUACUUG